CAACGAUAGACAGCUGUCCCUGAUUGAGAACACACUUCAUUGCCCACAUGAACAAAUACUUUCACUUUACUAUAGAAUACUACAAGAAAGUAUCCAAAACACUACAGUAAAGUCUGCAGUCUAGUAUACUAGUAUUUUUUAUAAAGAAGACAACAACACAACAAGAGACACACAUGACAACAGUGUUCUGUCUGUAAAAGAGGCCGCAGUCACAUUCUCCCUGCUUCUGAACAUAGACAUUCUUGUGUUUUAUGGGUCACAGGUUUACUCCUCUACAACAUCAGAGAGGAUCCCCUGAAAGACUGGAGACAGAAGAGAAAGCAGUCCUACUAGAUUUGUGUCUACAAGCAGCACUAGAUCACAGAGAAACAUUCCAGAGAACUGUGAACACACUGCUGUCACUGUUCUCUGUGUAUCAAACUGAGAGAUAUGACAUCCUGCUGGAUCUGUACUCUCAUGUGAAGUACAAUAGGAAUCAAACAGCCAGGAGUGUCCUUCCAUCAUUGCAGCCACUUUACCAGUCAGCUCCUGCAGUCUGGUCCAUAGACCUCUCAGAGAGAAAGACCUCCCUCCUCCUAGAAGUGCUGAAACUCCAACCAGGGAAGAAACCAGUAGAGCUGAAGGGCUGGUCAGAUGAAGAGAGUGAAGUGAGGAGUUUCCUUCAGUGUCUGUCCUACAUCUCACAGCUGAGAUUUUCUCCACUGAAGGAUAACAUAAAUAGGAGAAAGAGAGACAAGACAUGCCUACUGAAUCUGUGUCUUCAAGCAGCUCUCCAUGAGAGAGGAACCAUACAAACAACUGUAGAGAAAGUGGUGUCGCUGUCUAAAGUAUAUCACAACCAGAAAUGUGAUUUCCUGCUGGAUCUGUACUCACAUGUGAAGGACUAUGAGACUCAAACAGGCAGGAGUGUCCUUCCAGCAUUACAGACAGUUUACCAGUCAGCUCCUGCAGUCUGGUCCAUAGACCUCUCAAAGAGAAAGGCCUCCCUCCUCCUAGAAGUGCUGAAACUCCAACCAGAGAAGAAACCAGUAGAGCUGAAUGGCUGGUCAGAUGAAGAGAGUGAAGUGAGGAGUUUCCUUCAGUGUCUGUCCUACAUCUCACAGCUGAGUUUCUAUACAGACUGGUCUGAUCCCUCAAAGCAGAUCAAGUUCCUGGUGGAUCUCCUGUCUCAAGCAGCAGAGUGGGAGGAGCAGACAGGAGAGAAGACACUGAAGCUGGUAUCAUCAGUGUGGACUUACAGCACCUUUCCCUUCUGUGAAUGGGAUCAUGAUGUUGAGGAAUAUCAAUGUGAUUUCCUGCUGGAUCUGUACUCACAUGUGAAGGACUAUGAGACUCAAACAGGCAGGAGUUUCCUACCAGCAUUACAGCCAGUUUACCAGUCCGCUCCUGCAGUCUGGUCCAUAGACCUCUCAGAGAGAAAGGCCUCCCUCCUCCUAGAAGUGCUGAAACUCCAACCAGAGAAGAAACCAGUAGAGCUGAAGGGCUGGUCAGAUGAAGAGAGUGAAGUGAGGAGUUUCCUUCAGUGUCUGUCCUACAUCUCACAGCUGAGUUUCUAUCCAUGGAGGUCUGAUUCCUCAAAGCAGAUCAAGUUCCUGGUGGAUCUCCUGUCUCAAGCAGCAGAGUGGGAGGAGCAGACAGGAGAGAAGACACUGAAGCUGGUAUCAUCAGUGUGGACUUACAGCACCUUUCCCUUCUGUGAUGAUGAUGAUGGUGACGAUAAUAAGGAAUAUCAAUGUGAUUUCCUGCUGGAUCUGUACUCACAUGUGAAGGACUCUGAGACUCAAACAGGCAGGAGUUUCCUACCAGCAUUACAGCCAGUUUACCAGUCAGCUCCUGCAGUCUGGUCCAUAGACCUCAGAAAGAGAAAGGCCUCCCUCCUCCUAGAAGUGCUGAAACUCCAACCAGACAAAAAACCAGUAGAGCUGAAGGACUGGUCAGAUGAAGAGAGUGAAGUGAGGAGUUUCCUUCAGUGUCUGUCCUACAUCUCACAGCUGAGUUUCUAUCCAUGGAGGUCUGAUUCCUCAAAGCAGAUCAAGUUCCUGGUGGAUCUCCUGUCUCAAGCAGCAGAGUGGGAGGAGCAGACAGGAGAGAAGACACUGAAGCUGGUAUCAUCAGUGUGGACUUACAGCACCUUUCCCUUCUGUGAUGAUGAUGAUGAUGAUGAUGGUGACGAUAAUAAGGAAUAUCAAUGUGAUUUCCUGCUGGAUCUGUACUCACAUGUGAAGGACUCUGAGACUCAAACAGGCAGGAGUUUCCUACCAGCAUUACAGCCAGUUUACCAGUCAGCUCCUGCAGUCUGGUCCAUAGACCUCUCAGAGAGAAAGGCCUCCCUCCUCCUAGAAGUGCUGAAACUCCAACCAGAGAAGAAACCAGUAGAGCUGAAGGACUGGUCAGAUGAAGAGAGUGAAGUGAGGAGUUUCCUUCAGUGUCUGUCCUACAUCUCACAGCUGAGUUUCCAUCCAUGGUGGUCUGAUCCCUCAAAGCUGAUCAAGUUCCUGGUGGAUCUCCUGUCUCAAGCAGCAGAGUGGGAGGAGCAGACAGGAGAGAAGACACUGAAGCUGGUAUCAUCAGUGUGGACUUACAGCACCUUUCCCUUCUGUGAUGAUGAUGAUGAUGACAGUAAGGAAUAUCAAUGUGAAUUCCUGCUGGAUCUGUACUCACAUGUGAAGGACUAUGAGACUCAAACAGGCAGGAGUUUCCUUCCAGCAUUACAGCCAGUUUACCAGUCAGCUCCUGCAGUCUGGUCCAUAGACCUCUCAGAGAGAAAGGCCUCCCUCCUCCUAGAAGUGCUGAAACUCCAACCAGAGAAGAAACCAGUAGAGCUGAAGGGCUGGUCAGAUGAAGAGAGUGAAGUGAGGAGUUUCCUUCAGUGUCUGUCCUACAUCUCACAGCUGAGCUGUGGUGAUGACAGGUUCUUCCAGACUGUGUGUGAAUCCAUCCCUGUGAGGUCCAGAGAGGAGGACCAGCAGUUGGCCUCUCUCCUCCAGGCCUUGGGCUCCACCCUGUCACUGGGAGGAGUGUUACCCAGGAAAACCUGCAGGUCUGUGGGGAGAGUCCUGGGUCUCUGUGCCUCCAGAGUGGACCUCACUCUCACCCCCAGCAAGAUCUCUCUCCAAGGAGCCGCACUUCUUUUGAGACAUAAGUCAAAGCUCCACAAGCUCAGGCUGAAUGUGGGCGUGGCAGUGAAACUGUCCAGACUGGUUAGGAGGACAGGGAGAGGUGCUACUCCACUGACUGUCCCAGAACUCUCCCUGGUCCUAAAGAGCAGCCAGCCACCAGAGAGAGUGUUAUCCAGGGCUCUGAGUAGUGUGGCGUCCCUGCUGAGAAUCUGGAGGGUUCAGUGUCUGGACCUGACUGACUUCUGCAUCCAGGGUCACUCUCUCAUCACACUGCUGUGUCACCAGGGACCUCUCUCUCUCAGGUCAGUCUGAAACUGAUGUUUUUUUAAAGUAGAAAUAGUAACUUCAUUCAUGUGUUUUUCUUCAUAUUUCUGACUGCCUGUAUGUUCCAACCUCCUAGACUAAACUCAGACACUCUGCAGCAGCUGACUGUAGUUGUGUAUGAAGCUCAGGACAAGGACUUGACUCAGUGGUUCCUGGAGAAGGUUGGUGGAGACCUGACCUCCUGCAGGCUGGACUGGGAAGUGCUUCUCUCUCUGCUGCAGCAUUCAACCCACAACAUCACUGUGGACCUCAGGAAGAACCGGCUCCUAGAGAAGAACAGCUCACAUCUUCUCCCCUUUCUGGGAAGGGUUACUCUCAAGAGGUGGGAGAACUUCUUUCUCUAUUCAGACUUUCUAGAAAGAAUAAAAUAACUAUUUCUAUCCAGUGACAUGUUGUUCUGAGUUUUCCUCUGUAAUAUCAUUAGGGUUUUAUUCAAGAGGUGGGAGAUCUUUAUUCAAUAUUUAUAUACUUUAAUUAUUAAUGUCUUAUCCAGCCAGUUGUUAUUAUGUGAGUUAUCUUUUAUAAAACCUUGACAUAACCACAACAAUCCUUUCUCCAUGUUUGUUC
ensembl:lncRNA